CGUCGCAAAAAGUCUAUUAUUAGCAACGGCAAUUGUUGGGGUGGUAGCAAUAAAAAUAAGAUGCGACGGAAGUGUCCUGCCGUCGCAUGUUUAGAGAUCAUUGGCUACCAAGUGACCAACGCCGUCGCUAAAAAACAUAACCCUUAACUAAAGAAAGAGAAUUCAGUCGCUUCGGGAGAAGAAAGUUGUCAAGAAUAAUUUUGACUCAGGUUUCAGAGAAUUAGAUUGAUUAGGUUUAUAGAUCGAGAAGAAGAAGAUUGCAAAAUCGAUUCUUAGGUAGCAGAGAGAACAGGACUAUGGAGAAUAUGAUGAACAAGCUCCGAAAUUUGGACGCGUACCCCAAAAUCAAUGAAGAUUUCUACAGCCGUACCCUCUCCGGCGGCGUCAUCACUCUCGCCUCCUCCAUCGUUAUGCUCCUGCGAUCUUUCUGUCUGACUCCGAUUUGGUCUUAUGCAGUAAGACGUGCGCACUCUGUUGUUCCAGCCAUUUAUGUUAUAAAAGUGGCUAUUCCUAAAACUUCACCUCCACCCACACUUGAUGAAAGUGUAAUUAAAGGGGGGGCCUUCUGUGAGUUUUGAUUGGGAUUCUGGAAGCACACACGUCUAUCAUUGUUACGUCAACGUGGAUGGGAGUUACAGAUUCAAGGUUAUGAAUUUGACAGACAAUAUCCAGAUUAUACUGGAUGCUUUGAGAAUGUCAACUGUGGUGGAAGUACAGGGUUUGAUGUCAUCUUCAGAAUCUAGUGAAGAUGGAGGAAAUGAAGUGUUCUGAUUACCAGUUUUCCAGUACAUUAACUAUAUGUAAUUUAAUUUUGUAAAUUUAUGUAUUUGAACAUUGGUGAAGAUAUAUAAAAUUGAUGUUAAAAAGUAA